GAUGAACGCUGGCGGCGUGCCUAAUACAUGCAAGUCGAGCGAACGGACGAGAAGCUUGCUUCUCUGAUGUUAGCGGCGGACGGGUGAGUAACACGUGGAUAACCUACCUAUAAGACUGGGAUAACUUCGGGAAACCGGAGCUAAUACCGGAUGAUAUUUUGAACCGCAUGGUUCAAAAGUGAAAGACGGUCUUGCUGUCACUUAUAGAUGGAUCCGCGCUGCAUUAGCUAGUUGGUAAGGUAACGGCUUACCAAGGCAACGAUGCAUAGCCGACCUGAGAGGGUGAUCGGCCACACUGGAACUGAGACACGGUCCAGACUCCUACGGGAGGCAGCAGUAGGGAAUCUUCCGCAAUGGGCGAAUGCCUGACGGAGCAACGCCGCGUGAGUGAUGAAGGUCUUCGGAUCGUAAAACUCUGUUAUUAGGGAAGAACAUAUGUGUAAGUAACUGUGCACAUCUUGACGGUACCUAAUCAGAAAGCCACGGCUAACUACGUG
rnacentral:rRNA from 1 species